ensembl:lncRNA
AUAUAGGCCGGGACGCUCCCUGGGCAAUGUAGUCCGAGUCCGGGGUCGUGGCAGCGCCUGGGGCUGCGAGGGUGAACUACAAGUCCCAGAAUCCCAUGGGUUCCCAGGCUGGGCUCUAAAUAGACGCGCAAGGGGACAGGGAGGGGCGUCCUGCGAGGAGUCCGGGCUUCAAACCCGGCUCUGCGCCGAGAACUCGCUGACUUAGGAACCCGCGACUCAAAACCACCCGUUGGGGGCGCCCCCAGCCCUUGGGGACUCUCCUCCGUCGGCUGCCCCAUUUCUCUAGAAUCCAGGUGUCAUUGGGAGCAGGGGGCGGGGAAGAGCUCGAAUUUCUGCUUUGGGAAGUUUUUACAAGCUGUUACCCACCCUUCCCCCGCUUUGAGUACCCAGCCAAGAAUUUCAGAAAUCCAGGGCACAAAAACUCCAGUCUUUGCGGUCAAGGAUUAAAGGCGUGAGAUUGUCUUUAUUUAAGCUGUUCCGCUCUCUUCGGGUUUGCACAGAAAUCUAAGUCUGGGAGCAACGCAAGUGGGAACACAGGCAAGAGGCUUGAGAGCACUUUCCUGAACCCGAACUGCGCGUGUCUUUCCUUGCCCCGCAGGAGGUAAAGAAACGCAAGCGUCUCCGUGCAUAUAUAAAGGAGCCAGGUUGUGACUUGCCAGCGCUGAGAUUGAGAGGCAGAAAAUAAAUACGAAUCACGACCUCGGUCCUGACCCUGCUACAAGCAGCCCCUCUCCUCCCGGGAGCUGUAAAUGCUUAAGUAAAUAAACCGCAAACCAGAAAAAUAAGGGCUUUGGAGCGAGCCGGUCACAAGAAGAUGCGCGUCUAGGCGGGGCGCCCUCCAGCAGGUCCUACAGGGGCUUCCGGGGACACAAAGUGGAUUCAGCUCACUGCUAAGUGAUGCCUGGACAUCCCGGGCUAUCUGCUCAGGCUCCCGCUUUGGGAAGCCUUGUGCCUAAAGCCUCAAGCUACCAGUCCCAUCAGCAAGAAGCUCCCCCAACAUGUCACAAAAAAUGAAUCCACACCUUACGUAUCUGUCCCCUUUCUUCUUUUCCUUCAUGAAAACAACCUGUUCCAUUUCUAAAUGGUUUGUGGCUCUAUGUUUUAAAUUCAACAAAUCAUUCUAUGCUAACAUAACUGGUAAAUAUUAAAG